GACGAACGCUGGCGGCGUGCCUAAUACAUGCGAGUCGAGCGCAGGAAACUGACGGAACUCUUCGGAGGGAAGGCAGCGGAAUGAGCGGCGGACGGGUGAGUAACACGUAAGGAACCUGCCUCAAGGAUUGGGAUAACUCCGAGAAAUCGGAGCUAAUACCGGAUAGUUCAUCGGACCGCAUGGUCCGCUGAUGAAAGGCGCUCCGGCGUCACCUUGAGAUGGCCUUGCGGUGCAUUAGCUAGUUGGUGGGGUAACGGCCCACCAAGGCGACGAUGCAUAGCCGACCUGAGAGGGUGAUCGGCCAAACUGGGACUGAGACACGGCCCAGACUCCUACGGGAGGCAGCAGUAGGGAAUCUUCCACAAUGGACGAAAGUCUGAUGGAGCAACGCCGCGUGAGUGAUGAAGGUUUUCGGAUCGUAAAGCUCUGUUGUAAGGGAAGAACACGUACGAGAGGGAAUGCUCGUACCUUGACGGUACCUUACGAGAAAGCCACGGCUAACUACGUGCCAGCAGCCGCAGUAA
rnacentral:rRNA from 1 species